rnacentral:rRNA from 1 species
AUAGAGACUCAGAGCUGCAUAUCAAUAAGCGGAGGAAAAGGCGCUUACCUACGCUUAGGAUGUUGACGAGACUGUCGAUCUCAUCUAUACAUGACUCUGUGCAUAUCAAUAAGCGGAGGAAAAGAAACUAACUAGGAUUCCCUCAGUAACGGCGAGUGAAGCGGGAAGAGCUCAAAUUUGAAAUCUUCAAGGUUCUACCUUGACGAAUUGUAGUUUAAAGAAGUGUUUUCUGUUGGAGUUUUGGUAAAAGUUCUUUGGAAUAGGACAUCAUAGAGGGUGAGAAUCCCGUAUUUGACCAUUAUUUCCAGCUUUGUGAUACACUUUCAAAGAGUCGGAUUGUUUGGGAAUGCAGUCCAAAAUGGGUGGUAAAUUUCAUCUAAAGCUAAAUAUUGGCGAGAGACCGAUAGCGAACAAGUACCGUGAGGGAAAGAUGAAAAGAACUUUGAAAAGAGAGUUAAACAGUACGUGAAAUUGUCAAAAGGGAAGCGUUUGACACCAGUGUUGUUUUCUCGAAGAUCAAUUAAAAAGAGUUAGAUUUUGUUGUGUAUUGACCUUAACAGCUUCUGCACUUCAAUUUUCUUGUCUUUUUUAAUGCACUUCUCGUUUAACAAGUCAACAUCAGUUUCUUUUGUUGUAAAAGGGUCAUUGGAAGGUGGCUUUCUUUUCGGAGAAAGUGUUUAUAGCCUUUGGCCUCUGCAAUCGGAGAGAUUGAGGUCUGCAGCGUAGAUCCUUCGGGGUUAGAUACAUUUGUGCUAAGUUAUAGCCUUUCAUAGACAACUUGUUGACUAUGAUCAGUCAUGUAGCUUACUCGCUUAUGCUAUUUUACCUACGCUUAGGAUGUUGAUGUGAUACUGCGAGCA